AGAAGACAAUAAAUCUAGUUUCCUGCACUUAAUGGGAAAUUCUGGAGAACUGAUCAUAAGACUCUGGAGGCGUGAAUUUAAAUUUGAUUAAUUAAACCACAUUAAGACUUUCAUUAACCCCACUCAGUAUUAAAAUUCCCUAAUAUUACAUAUUUAAUUGGCUUCCCAAAUAAAUUUAACCACACUUAGUGGAAGUCAUUUUAAUACUGUUAAGAGUAUUAACACUGGAAGUGAAUGCGACAAACCUAAAUCACCACCAUCAUUUUCCACUUGAACAAGAUGUCAUAAAAGGCAGAAAGUAUUUAAAUAUCUGUGCAAAAAUUACAAGUCUACAUGUUAGGACAAAGACAAUACUUCAAAAUCCAAAGAUUAUCAUAUAUACAUUUCCUGCAUUUUUUUAUGUUGUCAGAUACUCCCUGAUGUCAUGUUCAAUUCUUCUUCCUCUGGAUGUUAUUCAUACAUCUCAAGGGUGGGCACUUCUUACUCAGAUGUCUAUCCUCCACAUCUGCCCUACUGUACAUCUCUGUGCAAGAAAGACUAUGAGGUCCAGGACAUAGACCUGAACAUCCAAUUAUGGUCAUCUCUAAUCCUGGGAAUUUCAGUCCCAGGAAGCCUUUGGCCUUGCCUAGUUAGCAGCCUUCCAGAAGUCUGUAGGUAUUAUUCAGAAGGAGUCUGUUCCAUGGACUAUUCCCCAUGGGACAUUUAGAUUCAGCAACUCUAUUUCUGGAGAAUUGGUUGAGCUCUGUAAAGGUAAGGGGACUUGAGAAUAUGUUUAAAUACUUUGCAGCGUAACAGGAGCCUGAAGAACUGAGACCUGGGAACAUUUCCACUGAGUUCAUUGGGAAUAUUUGGAUGUUGUAUAGCUAAGCAUGAGUGUAAAUUUUGCAGAUUGGAUCUUUAAUAGAAUUUCUCGUCUGAAGAAAUGCUAUUUUGUUUGAGACAGUUUGGCAAAAGUAAUUAUGUAGUAGACAAUAUAA
ensembl:lncRNA